CGGUUGACAGACAUGUUAGCUGGCUGCCCUGAGCACGUCUCUGUUGGGACGGACAAACAAGCAGGAACUGUGCUGUUAUGAAGCUCUGUAUCAGUCCCAGUAGAGUGCCAUGGACAGAGAGUCCACUGUUUGUCCUGUCAAACGACCAGCUUCUCAGACUCGGCAACAAAGGACAAUUCUUGGCGAACUUGCAGACUUGAACUCGGGUUAUGUCGACAACCAGCUUUUGCCGAUGUCAGUCAGCCAAUCAGAAGGGAGCGAGUUCCACUAGCAACAGACUUUGUGGAGCAGCAGCCUUGCCGCAAAGCUCAGCACCAGAGCAGCAGGACAGAAGGUGAAUAGAGGAGGGUCCCCUGGGCUGCAGGAUUCCAGCAAAUCUUUUGCUCUUUAGAGACAUCAGCACCCUGACAGAUUAACCUCACAAGUCAACUAAAGCCUGGGUUUUGCUCCUGCGUGGAGGCGCCAGCGUAUGUUCCAAUGUUCUUCCAAACUGUCCUGCAUAACUUGUAACAAAUAUCUGACCUUGUGUUUGUGUGAGUGUAUUUAAUGGCUGCAGCCAACACAAUUUCCAUCCUACAAACUCUCCCCUAUUGUAAACAGCUGCCACCACCGCAACCAUUAAUUAUUCACUGGAGCCUUGCCUACGUGUUUACCUUUGUCACUGGCUACCGGCUCCAGUGCUAAGGGACAUACGGAUGUGCUCACAAAGUCAAGGAAAACGCCUGUCUGCACGCUACCUGCGUUUGUGUCAACUGUGAACAUCCUUCUGCCAAGAACCAGGACUGCACGAUCCUGCAAAAAUUGUGAAUCACGAUUGUCUAGCUAAGAAUUGAAAUUGGGACAAACACAACAUGUUCAUUGUCAUGUGCUUUUGUUUAGAAGAAUGUCAACUGUUAAUAAUUAUUAUUAGACUCCUCAUUGUCUUGUUCUGCUUCGUGGGAUGUCUGGGAAAGACAGUUAUCAAGAGACUUGUUUCAAAUAGAGAUGAAAAUAAAGGCAAAUUAACAGAUCAAGUCAAAAAACAUGGCUUGCUUGAUCACACCUCAUCAUUUUCAUAUACAUAAUAAUACCAAUAAUAACAAUAAUGGUUAAGAACCAAAGUCAAAUAACGCAAAUUGCUUCUCCUACAGACAGCCAUAGCAGUAGGGUGAACUCGCACCGGUCGGCAAUGUGAUCUGAGGGACACUGACAGGGCGGGAGUGUCGGCCGUCAUUCUAAAAGACAGACCUUAUCCUUAAAUCUGUGUGUUUUUAAUAUUCCUUUUUUUUUAUUGAAUUGAGGUUGAUUUUUUUCUAUUAUUAUUGUUGUACAGCCUUGUGCAAAUUUCAAUCCAAUGCCAAAGCAUGGUCCUCAUUUCAGAUCCCCAGUGGACUAAAAGAUCAGUGGAGUUCAGUUCCUAGAUCACUUCCUUAAGUCAGGUCCCUUCCCCAAGCCUUCUGCUCAUAAUAAUCCUUUUUAGGAAUAAAUUACACACCACUACCACCAGCAACAGCACUAGUGCCACAUAUUCUCACUCACACACAUACAUACACCAGAUUGGGGCAGGGGGGUGCAGGAUGUGGGACCAGCUGGUCAUCAGCUCAGACAAAAGAACUUGCUGAAUGUGCUCAGAUCUCCACAUGGUCUGGGUCUCUGACUACCGUUCUGUACAAGUGGAAUAACAUUUACCAACUGUAUGUACUUUUGUACAUUCCUCAACGUAAACAUAAGAUGUAUCAACCGGUACCCACUUGGUCUCCUGUAUCCAAUUGCAACAAUGAUAGAGUUUGGAGUUAUUGAACAUACGAGUUCCUGGCUGUGUGUACUUGAUGUGGCUGAAAGGCUCUAUUGGGUAACAAUACCGGGAGGGACAUGCAUAAAACCUGUUUAGCAAAAGUCUAUUGGGGACACACCCGCCAGGAAUUUUCUUCCCCAUCGCAAAAUCUUUGAACAUGCGCUAUAUAUUGUAUAAUUUGUAGACGCGGCACAUAUCUUAUAUUUGCUUCCAAGCCGAUUACAACCAACUCCAAAAGACUGUCCGUCAAUUUAAAACAAUUUGGAGCCAACAGGAAAUGCAAAGCCAUUAUAUUUGAUAUGACAAAUUGGGGGGCAACAGGAUUGGUGAAUAGAGUCCUUUGUAACCUCUCAUGGGACUGGAAAAUGGUUGGGGAAAAAAAGAUAAAUCCCACCUCCUCACCAAGGGUCUGUGAGCGAGCAAAGCAGUGCUCAUCAUGAGGAUCACGACGGUUUAGUUUACAUUAGUUUGGAGCAGAACAAUUAGAAGUAUGUAUUCAACUAUUUCAUUUGAUCUCUGCAUUGAAGCCAUCACAGUCAAUAGCAGCUGAGUGUGAACUAAAAAUGGCGUUUGUAGUGGUGGCGACCAGCCAUCAUUACAAGGCAUGACGUGAUAAUCUAGGAUUGGUGGGCGGGUUCACCGCAAAUGUCUGGAAACUUAAGAAACUCUCAGGAAGUCUAAAUCUCCAUCUGUUCUCUUUGCUGCAGCGUAAACACAUGCUUCUUCACAGCAUGACUGUUUCAUUGCUCAUUUAUUAUUAAAAACAGCCUUCGCUUGGUUCCUGAGUUAUAAGUACCCACAUAGCCGCAUAUCGAUUAUAUAAAAAUGGAUUUAACCAGCGCAUAAAAGUAGACACAGAGAGGUGGCUAAAGAGGCGCUGGUGUAGUGUCUAAGACAGACAAAUCACAUAAACAAAGCAGAUGCAUUCAGACCACAGACACGUUUGCGGGAUCAUUAUGGAAAUGUCGUACAGUGGGAGGACAAAAUACCUGACCAUGGAAAUUCAGCUUUAAGAGGAUGCACACGUUUAUGACUUGGAACAAUCAGGAGUACUGUAGGGGUGUGGCAUCGGUAUGACAUCAAACCUGAAUAGCGCCUAAUGGAGAGCAGACCUCCCCCAGGGCCAAUAGAUUUCACUUAUAGCAAAGAAUGGUGGCCAACAGGGACAAACGACUAACUAAUCGAAACACAGAAACAAUCCAAAACCAAAAUCUGCAUGAGAGUAAAGCUUGUUUAAUAUAAACAGUGGGAUUUCUAACAAUUAGGAAGGUUUGUUUCAUGUUUUUCCUAUAGAAACCAUUUUAAAACAAAAAACAUAUUUUUACCCCAUUUUUUUUCAUUUUUGAAAAUGCUGUAGGGUUCCCGACCACCUGAAGCUCUGUAAAUAAAGUUGAUUUGAUCUGCUUGAUUAGGUAAUAAUUGAGAAGGAUAAGCAAAAAAAGUGCAGAUCCUCCUUAAGUUAACAUGCUUUCAAGUAAAAAAAAAAAAAAAAAAAAGAGCACAAGGAUGAUUCAGUUAUUACUUCAACAUUGGUUCAAUUUGAUUCUUGGAGGUAACGAUUCAAUUCAGAAUCAAUCCUCGAUUAAGAAUCGAUUCCCAUAAAUAACAUUGGGUGCCAGUUUUAUGAUUAACAUCAUACCUUCAUAAAAAAAAUAAACAGCUCUGAUAUAUUUCUAUACUAUCUAAAAGAAAACUGGUUUUGUUUAAUAAAAUGUUAUCCAAAUAUUCAAUAAAGUCAAAUACAAAUAAGGCAAAAAGAGAAGUGUCCCGGGCUUCUCUUUUCUAAAGUAACUCUGUACAGCUUAUAUGAGCUUCUACAUCAACAAUAUGAUUUUCCUGAGUGGCUGGACAGGGCAUUAAAAAAAAAAGUUAAAUACAUUUUCAAAGUUUUUUUAAUCGAUUAAUAAAAGCAAAAAAUAAAAAUUGUGAUUCUUUAAAAAAAUUGUUUGACACCUCUACUAUUUGAAGCUAUCUAACUUACCAAAGAAUAUGUUUAUGCUGCUACAAUUCCUGGCAUUGGAGGUCACGUCCACAAAAACUACCAUCUGGCUAGAAUUAGCACCAGCACAAUGCUUUUGGACAACUUAAAAGUUUUCAUCAAUUUUGCCCCGGACAGAUAGAAGAAGUCAUUUGGGAAAUGCUGGGCUAUUUUGGAUUGAGAGGUGAGUUUUGAUGCGGCCGCUUCGAGUGCACCGAAGGCAGGCAAGGAGCUGGCCUGCAAUGGGUGCGGGCUGGCUAGCUUGAUUGCAGCGAGUUAAAAGUGUAGUUUUGGUGUGGACAGAUGCGCGUUUGUAAAGGUGCACGAGUCUUUGCUAAUCAGUUGAUACAGUAUAAGUGGUUGCCAGUUCGAGCCCAGAGUGUGCAGGGUUGGACAGUGCCUGAUGACCACUGUUAGACAAGGGACCCUAGGUCUUAGGGAUGUCUUUAUACGGACACUAGCUACACAAAUCGGCACCCCUAUAAUAUUGUAAAAUAGUACGACCAAGUGUUUAACAAAGAUAUACAGAUUUAUUAUUAUUAUUCUUUAACAGACAUGUUUAUGAAGAUGAGCAUUUGUCAGGUCUGGUUGCCAUGGUAGCCUGGCAAAAAUCGGUUUUGUUUCAUCAACUUACAGCCUCUUUCUGAUGCAGUUGUUUGUGUUUGGCAUUUGCAUUUGUUCUUGAUUC